UACGUAGGUGGCGAGCGUUGUCCGGAUUUACUGGGCGUAAAGGGCGUGCAGGCGGUUUGUUAAGUGCAGGGUGAAAGCUCCCGGCUCAACUGGGAGAGGUCCUUGCAUACUGGCGAACUCGAGGGAGGCAGAGGAAAGUGGAAUUCCCGGUGUAGUGGUGAUAUGCGUAGAUAUCGGGAGGAACACCAGUGGCGAAGGCGGCUUCCUGGACCGGUUCUGACACUGAGGAGCGAAAGCGUGGGGAGCGAUCCGG
rnacentral:rRNA from 1 species